rnacentral:rRNA from 1 species
AUACGUAGGUGGCAAGCGUUGUCCGGAAUUAUUGGGCGUAAAGCGCGCGCAGGCGGUCCUUUAAGUCUGAUGUGAAAGCCCACGGCUCAACCGUGGAGGGUCAUUGGAAACUGGGGGACUUGAGUGCAGAAGAGGAAAGUGGAAUUCCAAGUGUAGCGGUGAAAUGCGUAGAGAUUUGGAGGAACACCAGUGGGGAAGGCGACUUUCUGGUCUGUAACUGACGCUGAGGCGCGAAAGCGUGGGGAGCAAACAGGAUUAGAUACCCUGGUAGUCCACGCCGUAAACGAUGAGUGCUAAGUGUUAGGGGGUUUCCGCCCCUUAGUGCUGCAGCUAACGCAUUAAGCACUCCGCCUGGGGAGUACGGUCGCAAGACUGAAACUCAAAGGAAUUGACGGGG